rnacentral:rRNA from 1 species
AACGAACGCUGGCGGCAGGCCUAACACAUGCAAGUCGAGCGCUCUAGCAAUAGAGAGCGGCGCACGGGUGAGUAACGCGUAGGAAUCUACCUUGUAGUACGGAACAACAGUUGGAAACGACUGCUAAUACCGUAUACGCCCUUCGGGGGAAAGAAUUUCGCUAUAAGAUGAGCCUGCGUUAGAUUAGCUAGUUGGUGAGGUAAUGGCUCACCAAGGCUCCGAUCUAUAGCUGGUCUGAGAGGAUGAUCAGCCACACAGGGACUGAGACACGGCCCAGACUCCUACGGGAGGCUGCAGUGGGGAAUAUUGGGCAAUGGGCGCAAGCCUGACCCAGCCAUGCCGCGUGAGUGAUGACGGCCUUAGGGUUGUAAAGCUCUUUCAGUAGGGAAGAUAAUGACGGUACCUACAGAAGAAGCCCCGGCUAACUUCGUGCCAGCCGCCGCCGUAA